CCGAGUAGCUGGGAUUACAGAUGCCUGCCACCACACCCGGCUAAUUUUUGUGCUUUUAGUGAAGACGGGUUUCACCAUGUUGGCCAGGCUGGCCUCGAACUCCUGACCUCAUGAUCCACCCGCCUCGACCUCCCAAAGUGCUGGGAUUACAGGCAUGAGCCACUGCGCCUGGCCAAACUUUUUAUUUUUAGAUAAUUAUAGAUUCCCAUGCAACUUUAAGAACUAAUACAAAGGGAUCCCAUGUACCCAUGAGCCAGUUUUCCCCAAUGGCAACAUCUUACAAAACUGUAGAAUAAUUUCAUAGUCUGGAUAUUGACCUUGAUACAGUCAAGACACAGAAUAUUUCUGUCCCUACAAGGAUCCCUCAUGUCAUCCUCUUAUAGCCAUGCCUACUCACAUUUGCCUUCACAGGCUCCUUAACCUCUAGCAACCACACAUACAUUCACCAUUUUAUAAUUUUGUCAGUUCAAGAGUAUACUAUAUGGAAUCACAUGGUAUAUAACUUUUGGGGAUUGGCUUUUUUCCACUCAGCAUAAUUCUCUGGAUAUUCAUCCAGGUUGUUUGUUGCAUGUAUCAAUAGUUAAUUCCUUUUUAUUUCUGAGUAGGAUACCAUGGUAUUGCCGUACCACAGCAUGUUUAUUUAUUAUUUAUUUAUUGAGACAGGGUCUUGCCCUGUCACCGGGGAUGAGUGCAGUGGCAGGAUCAUUGCUCAUUGCAGCCUCAACCUCCUGGCUCAAGCAAUCCUCCCAGCUUAUCCUCCCAAGUAGCUGGGACAACAGGUGCACACCAACACACCUGGCUAAUUCUUUUUUAUUUUUAGUAGAGACAAGGUCUCGCUAUGUUGCCCAGGCUGGUCUCAAACUCCUGGUCUCAAGCCAUCUUUCCUCAGCCUCCCAAAGUGCUGGGAUUACAGGCAUGAGCCACCACGGCUGGCCCCCCACAGUAUGUUUAACCAUUCACCUGUUGAAGAACAGCUGGGUUAUCUUCAGUUUUUGGCUAUUAAAAGCUGCCAUGGGAAGGGAGCAGUGGCUCACACCUGUAAUCCCAGCACUUUGGGAGGCCGAGGCGGGCAGAUCACCUGAGGUCAGGAGUUUGAGACCAGCCUGGCCAACAUGGUGAAACUCCGUCUCUACUAAAAAUACAAAAAUUAGCUGGGCAUGGUGGUGCACAUCUGUAAUCCCAGCUGCUCGAGUGGCUGAGCAAGAGAAUCGCUUGAAUGCGGCAGGUGGAGGUUGCAGCGAGCCAAGAUUGUGCCACUGCACUCCAGCCUGGGUGACAGAGUGAGACUCCGUCUCAAUAAAUAAAUAAAUAAAAGCUGCCAUGAACAUUCAUGAACAGGUUUUCGUGUGUCCAUAAGUUUUCAUUUUUCUGGGAUCGAUACACAGCAGUACAAAUGGUGGGUCAUAGGGUAGUGGUAUGUUUCAUUUUCUGAGAAACUGCUGGCUGGGUGUGGUGGCUCACGCCUGUAACCCCAUCAUUUUGGGAGGCUGAGGGGGGUCGAAUGCUUGAGCCCAGGAGUUCAAGACCAGCCUGCGCAACAUGGGGAGACUGUCUCUACAAAAAAUAUAGAAAAUUAGAUAGAUGCGGUGGCAUGCACCUGUGGUCCCACGACUUGGGAGGCUGAGGCAGAAGGGAAGAUCCCUUGAAUCUGGGAGGUUGAGGCUGCAGUGAGCUGUGAUUUUGCCACUGCACUCCAGCCUGGGCUACAGAGUGAGAUCCUGUCUCAAAAAAAAAAAACAAAAAACCAAAACAAACAAAAAACAAACCCGAAACAAACAAACAAAAACCCAGAAACAAACCUGCUAAACCUUUCCAGAGCAGCUGUACUAUUUUAAAUUUACACUGAUGUAAACGUAUGAGUGAUCUAGUUUUUCUGCAGCUUUGCCAGCAUUUGUUGUGACUAUUUUUUAUUUUAGCCAUUCUGAUAGAUGUAUAGUACAGAUGUAUGGUACAAAUUAAAACCGUCUCAUUGUGGUUUUAAUUUGCAUUUCUCUGAUGGCUAAUGCUAUUGAACGUUUUUUUCAUGUAUUUAUUUGCUAUCUGUAUAUCCUUUUCAGUCAACUAUCUAUAUUUCUUACGCAUUUUGAAAUUGGAUUGUUCUUUUGACUGUUGAAUUUUAGUUCUUUAUAGCUUCUAAAUACUAGUCCUUUGUUAGACAUGUGGCUUGUAAAUAUCUUUUCCCAGUCUACAGCUUGUCGUUUCAUUACCUUAAUAGGUCUUUUGCAGAGCAAGUUUUACAUUUUGAUGAAGUACAAUUUAUCAACAUUUUCUUUUACGGAUCAUGCUUUUGGUGUCAAGUCUAAUAACUCUUAAAGAGUUCUGGGCAUGGUGGC
rnacentral:lncRNA from 1 species